GGGUGACAGGUGGUGCAUGGUUGUCGUCAGCUCGUGUCGUGAGAUGUGGUUAAGUCCCGCAACGAGCGCAACCCUCGACCUUAGUUGCCAGCAUUCAGUUGGGCACUCUAAGGUGACUGCCGGCUAAAAGUCGGAGGAAGGUGGGGGAUGACGUCAAAUCAUCAUGCCCUUAUGACCUGGGCUACACACGUGCUACAAUGGGCGGUACAAAGGGUCGCGAACCCGCAGGGGGAGCCAAUCCCAAAAAGCCGCUCUCAGUUCGGAUUGCAGGCUGCAACUCGCCUGCAUGAAGCCGGAAUCGCUAGUAAUCGCGGAUCAGCAUGCCGCGGUGAAUACGUUCCCGGGCCUU
rnacentral:rRNA from 1 species